UGCUUUUCUACACAGAGUCCCUCCCUUGUGGGGUUGCAACGCGUGUCUUGACACCUGGACCUGGACACUAAAGCUCCCCCCCGACUACUGAACCCCAAGCCCGCGCUCUCGUACCUUUUACUUUUCAACGUACCACCGCGUAGUAACUGAUAAUGUCACCAGUAAUGAUAAUUGGUUAGUUAUAUUAGUUACUAGGUGGAAUUAUAAUUGAAGAAUCCGAGGGUGCUUCAAGUUCCAUGUCACAAAAAAUAGCAUCUAAACCAAAUCAGGCAGUGCUGCUUGGAGCAUGAUGUGCCAGGUUAGCACUGCCAGCUCAGAUCCAAAGGGGACGGUGACCCACUCGUCACCUUUCAGCCCCUGCGCUUCAUCACCGAGUGUUUUUGCAGCCUGCAUUUUCCUCUUGACAUGGUUGUUGUGAAUCUUUGCUUUCAACAGCUUCGCAUCCUCCACUUACACUUUCAUUCUCUCCUUCAGGUUGUGCAGAAAAAAUAAACAAUUGAAAAUGACACCGAAUGACGUUGUUUUUAUAUAUUUACAUAUUUUUUUGUUUUGUAUUAUUAGGCUGUGCUUGCAUUGUUUUUCUCCUUUUGUUUUCUGUUGGAGUCGAGGAUACCUUGGCCUUGCGGUGACUUACGAAUGGCUUUGCCUUGUGCUGCUGGAUGUGCCUCAUAUUGCUGUUUCUGACGCUUUGAGCCGUAUCCGUUUCGCCAUCUCCAGUUCAGACCGCACCUCGAAAAACUUGUCAUGCAAGCUGAUGGUUUGCUCACUUGACUCACAUUGUGUGAGAAUUAGGCGUGGAGUUGCUCCCCCACUUGCUCUGUAUCUUUACGCCACUUCAGAUGAUCCGUGCGGGAGCUAUCUUCUAUCUUCGACAUGUGCUCCUUGAUCUUUUCUACACGUAUGAGAGUAUCUCUUCAUACGUCUUAAGACCUCUCCGAAGACCUUGUCCAUCACAUUGAGCCACAGACCGAUGAUUUAAGGAACAAUCGGCGCCUUGAUAUGAAUCUGUACAGCACUAAGGCCUUUUCAAGUUUUCAGUUGAGGAUGAAACAAACUAACUGCAAAAUCAAACUAUCUGCAGCUGGCUCAACUGAAGCACCUUUGGAGGAGAGAAACACUAUAUUUGCCUGGUGCAUUGUGGAGCACGGGCUGACCUUUUUGAAUCCUUUUCAUGUGAGAGUUUGUUUUUCUGUUAUUUAGUAGAACAGGUCGUUAUUCGGAGGUCACAGAUAGAUUGCCAAGCAGGGUUUCACUAGUUCGAGUAGUGCAUCUUUCUCGAGGGAAGUCUUGAAAGACCCGUUGCAAUUUUAGCUCUACUCUGAAAUUUUGUAGGUCAGCAGUCCACCUGUUUGUGGCGAAUCUCGUGCAGCUAAUCUGCUCCAAACCAAACAAUAUCAUUUGGGAGUACAGUCGGGGGUCAUUCAACGUCAAUUGAACACUCACGGCUUCCUACAAUGACUCCAUCUUGUAUCGUCACUUUCACAAAUAGCAUUCAUAUUCUUCAUUAGAAGAAACUCCAAUUCAUUCAUGAUUUGCAUGAAGCAAUACAGGCGACAGCCUUGAUGCUACAUCUGUUCCUG